CAGAAAUUUUGUGAUUUGGAUCUCACGGGUGAUGAUGGCUGCGUCUGGCCAGGUGCGCCGAGCGCACUUCUCGAAGAAGGCGAACAAGGGCUGGCAGAAGACCUGGUAGGCGCCGACGAGAUGGAUAACAAUGGCGGCAUUCGCGAUGUCGAGGAGCCAGAAGGGAUUGUAGAAGCCGAAGCCGGUGAGGAGGUUGCCUGGUGCAGCAUCACCGAAG
rnacentral:misc_RNA from 1 species